CCUACGGGAGGCAGCAGUGAGGAAUAUUGGGCAAUGGAGGAAACUCUGACCCAGCCAUGCCGCGUGCAGGAAGACGGCCCUAUGGGUUGUAAACUGCUUUUGUACGAGAAUAAACCUUUCCACGUGUGGAAAGCUGAAGGUACCGUACGAAUAAGGAUCGGCUAACUCCGUGCCAGCAGCCGCGGUAAUACGGAGGAUCCAAGCGUUAUCCGGAUUUAUUGGGUUUAAAGGGUCCGUAGGCGGGUCUUUAAGUCAGUGGUGAAAGCCUGCAGCUUAACUGUAGAAUUGCCAUUGAUACUGGAGGCCUUGAGUGUAGUAGAAGUAGGCGGAAUAAGGCAUGUAGCGGUGAAAUGCAUAGAUAUGCCUUAGAACACCGAUUGCGAAGGCAGCUUACUAUGUUACAACUGACGUUGAGGGACGAAAGCGUGGGGAGCGAACAGGAUUAGAUACCCUGGUAGUCCACGCCGUAAACGAUGAUUACUCGCUGUUAGCGAUAUACAGUUAGCGGCCAAGCGAAAGCAUUAAGUAAUCCACCUGGGGAGUACGCCGGCAACGGUGAAACUCAAAGGAAUUGACGG
rnacentral:rRNA from 1 species